UCUGUCGCGUCGCGGACCUGUCGAGACGAUCUCACAUCGAGUUAUAAACAUUAAUAUAUUUUCAAUAAAAAAUCAAUCAUCAAUACCCAAAAUACACGUCGCAUAGGUCUCGAUGAGUAAAUGUGCUUUUAGAAUAAUCGAGUGAUUUUCAGUGACUGCUCUGUGGUUUUUAUAAGGAAAGACGAGUUUUGCGUGUUUCUUAAUCAUAAAUUCAUAAAAUGAGACAUUGUUGUGGCUAUUUUUAUUGCAUCGAUUAGCGACUGGAUUGUGCAGAAGGCCCUAGACAUACUCGGUAAUUCGUAUGACUUCGUAAGCAGAUUACAAAGAUCUCAUCGAAUGAAGGAUGAUGAUCCUGCCACAGGGGGUCCUGGUGAUCCUGUGCCUGAUGUGCACCUUCCUGGUAAUUCAAUCGAGCAUCACCGAAUUCCCCGAUCUUGAUCUUUUCGAUGAUACCGAUUUAUCACCCGAUCUCGUCACCACGACAAAACGCCCUUUGCCGGAUCGUUGUCUCGUCAAAACCGACUCUGGCCCCUGCAAACAUUAUAUUCAUAAAUGGACAUUCAACAAAGUCGAGGGCAAAUGCAGAAUCUUCGUUUAUGGUGGAUGUCUGGGAAAUGAGAACAGAUUUAAUUCACAACUCGAGUGCCUCCACCACUGCGUCGGCCGUCCUAAUUGGGAAUUUUUUAAUUUACUAGAUACUUUACCCUCGUCCAUGGGAGCCAAGGGAAAAGUGUUUGUCACGAAAAUGAAUACUUCGACGACGAGUACACCCCCGACGACGACACCCAGCACUCCUCCCCCUACGUUUUCACCCCUCGGCCCCACGAGGAAACCCGUGCCGAAACACGAAAGGGGAAAGGAACUCACGUUUAUGGAGUCAGGAUACGAAAAAACUUUCAUGUUCGCCGAGAGCAAUACAUUUAUCCAACUAGACGGACCGGGAAUGAAAACAUUCCAAUUAAGACUCUGCCGAGAAAUUUCCUUCCAAUUCCGUACAAAACUUCCGCACGGCCUCCUGGUGUACCACAGCGUGAAAGAUCGCCCGGAGAGUCUGGACCCAUAUGCCCUGUACGUAAUCGUGGAAAAGGGUCAGCUAAAAGUUGUCCACGUGUUCGGUAAACUCUCGACAAGCCUGACAGUGGGUGAAGGCCUGAAUCGAGACGAGUGGCACAGUGUCCUAGUUAGAAUAGACGUCCAAGGUGCAAAAUUAAUGGCACGCGUUGACGACAGACAAGAAGAGACAACCCUAGAUGUCCUGGAGAGAGUCGUUAAUUACGGUGUAUCAACCGAAUUGGGUUCAGUCGUUUUAAUUGGUGGUCUCAGCUCCGAGGAGAGACUCCACGGGGUCAAAUACAUCAUUGAAUCGUUCGUUGGGUGUAUCCGAGAUAUGAUCCUGAGCUCUGGAAAAUCUGUCAGUGAUUUAUCACCGAUUAAGCCUCUAAUAGCGACUAAACACGAGAACGUCAAGGAAGGAUGCAUCGAUAAAUGCUGGACUAGAGAAAAUCUCUGCUUCUUCGGGAGCAAGUGUAUCAAUCACUACAACAGUCUCACUUGUGAUUGCUUCGGGACACUCUAUGAAGGAGAGCGAUGCGAUGUUUACACUGCGACUAUUUUGACUCUCCGAGGCUCGUCCUACGUCUCGUUCAGAGUUUACGAUUGGAAAGAUCGAGUGCAUUCGUCUGUUAAUCGAAUUAGUAUGCAAUUUAAGACGAGGUGGGACGACUCGGUGUUGUUUUAUGCAUCUGGGGAGAUCGAGGGGACAGCCCACUACAUUUCCGCCUCGAUAAUGAAUCGAAAAGUCCACGUCCAUCUGGAUUUUGGUCACAAUUCCAAGCUCUCGACGAUUCUAGGUGACAACGUCGCCAACAACGACUGGCGAAAUUUCACAAUAUUCCAUAAUGGGUCACGUGUUUUCGUAUCGCUGGACCGCGAGUUGAAUGUCCUGGACAUUCCGGGUGACAAUCAAUACAUGAUAAUCGAUCCGGAGAUCUACAUCGGUGGCGGUCCAGAGCUGCACAAGAAGAAGGGUCUUGUGUCGUUCAAUAAUUUUGCUGGCUCCUUGAAGUACGUCUUCUUCAACGACAAGUCCAUAAUUUACGAACUGAAGAAAUCCAACCCAAUGGUCCACUACAUCGGCGUCCUCGAGCCCGAGUAUUACGACACCGAUGUCAAAGUCAUACCCAUAACUUAUCCCUUCGCCGGGAGUCACAUCUGGUGGCCCACUAGGUGGAAGGACUCGUUGAUGCUGAAUUUUGAAUUUCAAAGCUCAAAACCAGUGGCAGUUGUUGCUUCUGGUGAUGUUAUAAUGGGGCAGAGCUCAGGGUAUUGGGAGGUGAGAUUGGUCAAUGACGAGGUCUGGUUUCAACUGAUUCCAUUAUUGACGGAAAACAUUACGGUAAUUGCAUCGGUGGACAACACGACAUCCUGGCACAAGGUGGAACUCAAUUACACCAGAGGACAACUCAGUCUAAUCGUCGAUCAUCACCACCUGAAGUCGAGACAAUUUCGGAGAAUAUUCGAGCUGGAUGAUAAAGUUAUUAUCGGAAGUGGCAAGAGUGACGCGGGUCUCGUGGGAUGCAUGCGUGACAUCAAAGUGAAUGAAGAUGUCAUCGAGCCGAGGUACGUCAUAAACACUGAAAGAGUCAUCGGAGAAGUCGCCCUGGACAACUGUCAAUUCGUCGAUCCCUGCAAGAGGCCUAACACCUGCGAACACGGGGGCAAGUGUUCAGUGAAAGAGAACAGAAUAACCUGCGACUGCAAGGACACUGGGUACAUCGGAAAGAAUUGUCAUUUCACUCGUUAUCGAAAGACAUGCGAGGAGCUGGCGUUAUUGGGAUACACCAAGGACGGCGUCUACAGGAUUGAUAUCGAUGGGAAUGGACGAUUUCCACCGGCUAUUGUCAAAUGCGAAUUUCAGAGCAUCGAGGAUGCCACCAAGACCAUCGUAGAGCACAAUUUACCCUCUCAAGUCGAUGUACGAUCGAACGUCGAGUUUGAUUUCUCAUUUAAUAUCACGUACCGAGAGUUCACCGCGGAGAUGCUGCAGGAAUUAAUUUCCCACUCGUUGUAUUGUAGUCAGCAUGUUAAAUAUGAUUGUUAUAAGGCACCUCUGGAGCUCCACAGUGCUACCUGGCUGCUGGGGUCCAAGCAGACCAUUGUGGAUUACAUCGGGAAUGCGAAUAGAGGAUCUUGUCCCUGUGGAAUGAAUAAAACCUGCGUGAAUCCUGAUCUGAGCUGCAACUGUGAUGUCUCCGCUGGUAAAUGGCUGUCCGAUGAAGGACAUUACGAGAGUCCUGACUCUCUGGGGAUCACAGGUAUUGUUUUUCUUCAGCAGAAGGACCUCGAGGAAGAUGCACAAGGAAGAAUUACACUCGGACCACUGGAGUGCGUCGAAACGAAUACGCAGAAGUAUGUUGUAACAUUCACCACGUCUCAGUCUUACAUCGAAGUUCCUGGAUGGAGAAAAGGGGACAUUGCUUUCAGUUUUCGAACGACUGGAGAAAAAGCUAUUCUCCUCUAUCAACCCCCAAUCCGAAGCAACUACCCCUCCUUCAUGGUUGCCCUGACCUCCGACUACCGUCUGACAUUCAACUUCACUCUCAACACAGGAACGAAUCGUGAAUUAGAAGUGAAAAGCCGAAGGAAAUUGAACAACGGAGAGUGGCAAAAAAUCUGGAUUGAUUACAAUGAUUAUCACGUACGGUUUAUGAUCAAUACUGAUUUUCAAAUGGUGGAUUUACUUCCUGAGGAGGAGUUUGGACCUUUUGAGGGGUCGAUGUUCAUCGGUGGUGCCACUGCUGAGCAUCUCAAAACUUCGGAAGUUAAGCAGGGGCUGAUCGGGUGCUUCAGGGGACUCGUUGUUAAUGGAGAAAUUUUAGAUAUUCACAGUUACAUGUCGGUGCACUUGUCAGAAAUUAUUAAGGACUGCAAACCCUCUUGUCAGCCUAACAAGUGCCAGAACGGCGCACGAUGCGUUGAAUUGUGGAGUAAUUUCGAAUGCGUAUGUGAAAAUCGAUGGGCACAUCAGGGAACUUUCUGUGAAACAAAUAUAAACACCAAAGCAUUAACGUUUACAUCCCCGGGUGCAUUCUUGAAGAAGAACUACUUGGGCACUGGCGACGACGAGGAGAAGCUCCUGCUGAAGAGUAUGCUACUGGAGAAUAUCCUGAUAAACCUGAGGACAUACGACACCUACUCCCUAAUUCUCUACGCCAACGAUCAUCUCAACAACUUCGUGCACAUCUACAUAUCAAAUGGAACGAGCAUAGUCUAUCUAUUUAACGCCGUCAACGAGAUCAAGAACAUCACCGUCCAGUAUCCAGGACUCAGCACUGGAAUAUCUGUGCAGAUAGCGAUUGUCAGAGGUGAGAAGACGACAACACUUCACGUCAAUGAUCACAACGUCACGGUCGAUUAUGUACCGAUAUUGCUGGACUCGUACUCCAACAAACCGUGGAUCAACUCGGAGAAGGAAGUGCUGGCACCUCAGAGACCACCAGCACCACCAACCGACUAUUUCCAGGUGAAUCUCGGUGGUUUCGAUCCGGACAAUCUUCUCCGGGUGGGUAAAGAGGGCCAGCUGAUUCAGGGCUACGUCGGUUGCCUCCGUGGUCUCAUGAUCGCCGAGUAUCUGGUUGACCUUCCGAGUCUCGCCAGCGAGGCAAAUCAUGAGGGCUCCAAGGGAAUUCUCCCCAAUUGCCAAAUGAAGUGUGAUGCCGUUCCCUGUAAAAACCUGGGAAUCUGUAUCGAGGAUUUCAGUAAACAAGAGGCAUCCUGCAAUUGCGAGCUAACAUCCUACUUCGGGGAGAAUUGCGCGGAGGAGAAGGGCGCGGAUUUUGGAGGUGAGAGCCUCCUCCAGAGGGGCUUCGAGCUCGAUGGUGAAGUCAAUCAAAUUAAAGUUCAAUUGGCCUUCAGUACAAACGAUCUGCGCCAACGAACAUCCGCCCUGUUGCUCCUACAGACGGAGAACCGACGGAGUUACUACCUCCUGGUAGCCCUGACAUCCGAGGGUCAACUCAUCUUCGAGGAGGACAGAGAGGGCUCGGCGUACGGUGUUCGUGUCAACGACAGAAAUUUCCUCAAUGGUGCCAGACACAGUGUCUAUUACGUAAGAGACAAUAACACAGUGACGCUCCUAAUAGAUCGAGAGCCAGUGCAAUUGCUCCCGAUUCCAGUCCUCAGUAUCACCGAGGAUGAGGAAGAAGGUGGAGAGGAGGCAGAUCCAGCUGCCAGUGAGGAGCCCAGUGUUCAGUUGGGCUGGGUAAACACGUCUGAUCAUCGAUUCUCUCUUUACAAGGGCUACACUGGAUGCCUCAGCAAUGUUGUUGUGUCAAUCAAUGGGGGGAACAUGAUGAAACCCCUGGAGGAGUACAUGCUGUUCACUAAAAAGGGCAGUGAAACUGUCAGGGCAACGAAUCCAGCGGGUGUCAGGAGUGCUCAGUGCUCGUUCUUCCAUGUCCAGCCUAGAGGUCUUGAACCCCCCAGAAAUGACAGCGUCGAGAAUGAUAAGAAUUGGGAUGCUGGGGCACCAGCUAAGAUACCGUACAAAUCACUCUAUCAUGAUGAGACUGAGGAGGAGCAGGGGGCUGGAACGUACAUGUUUAUCGCUCUUUGUUGUAUCUUUGUGGCGGCGGUUUUGGGGUGCAGUUAUGAGGUCUGGAGGAGUGCCAGGAGAGACAGGAAGAGGAAGAGGAGGGCCAGGGCUGCUGCUGUCACCGUCAGUGGCUCUCCUGGGGGGUCGCAGAGGUGGCAGAGUGCUGAGGUGAAUUCUGUGGGGAAGACUGUUGGGUUCAAGGCCGUUGUUGAGGAUGAGAAGAGGCCUAAUGGCACGCACAAGGUCGCCAAUGACGUGGGGGAGAAAAAAGUUCAGAUCAAAGAAGAUGAACCCGAGAAGAAGGAACUCCUAGGGGUAAAUACAGGCCUCGUCAGUAAACCUGCGAAACCAAAUCCAUUUUCGAUGGAAGAUUUGACGGAGGAGCCGGAGUUGGAGGAGAGGGAGCAGGAGGAAGCAGAGGAGGAUGAAGAAAUGACUGAUCCAAGUGUCAUCAGUAAUCCUGAGGCUGAAGUACUCGUCAAGCCUGCACCGAUAAUUGCGUGGUCUAAAGAAAAUAUCGAGGAGAAUGAGAAUGUGAUACCAUUAAACUCCAUAACGAAAUCACCGGAAACGCAAGUAACGUUUCAACUUUAGAGGUACAACGAAUUAAACAUCAAGAAGAUAAAUUAAUAAAUUCAAUGAAAUAUUAAAAAAUAAAUGACAAGCAUGUGACCGAGAAUAACUCAAAUAUACGAAUUAUCACUCGACCGCUUGUUUUUGCAUAAUGUAUUGUCCUCAAAGUAUGUUAAUUAAUUAUUUAUGUUGUUUAUCAUUGACAAUAUCAUUUCAUUGCAUGCACAAUGCUUUGGGCUGCUUUUUUACUCGACAAUGCUGUCGAUUGUCUCGAUUUAUCGCUCGCAUCAACUCGAGUCGAAAUGUCAAUUUGCAUUUAGUGCUUUUGUCUAUUAAUUGACAAUUGAUUUGGAGAUAAUUUAUUUGCAGGAAUCUUUCACACAAGGAAGACAGUCGAAGUCGCAAGCAACGACUCCAGAAGGCACAAAGAUGAAACCUUUGAGUAUGGCCCCAAUAUUUCUCGCUGAG